GAUGAGCUCGGUAACGUGGGCUUGUCACCAAGUGGAGCAUUAAGGUAUUUGAAUAAUUUGGUAUUGAAUUCAAGGUUGACAUUAUGAGCUAGCUUUGAUUUGCCCGUUUCCAAGUUGGGCAGUGGAUUCUAUGUUUCAGGCUAACGCUUGAAUCAUAUUCUCCCUAAACUUGAGGGUAAUGCGUGAGGCUGGUUUCACAGAUCAGCGAUUACCUCUCACUCUCAACGGUGGAAGGAUUACAACUCAUUUGCUCAUAUUGUCAAUUAGCCUUGGAAUCCACCAAAUUCAACAAAUAUUUUU
rnacentral:SRP_RNA from 1 species